CAUAUGAUCACCAGAGUUAAGCAAUGUCGAGCCUGGUCAGUACCUAGAUGGGUGACCACCUGGGAAUACUAGAUGCUGUAAG